rnacentral:rRNA from 1 species
AUGGUAGGAUAGAGGCCUACCAUGGUGGUAACGGGUAACGGGGUGUUAGGGCACGACACCGGAGAGGGAGCCUGAGAAACGGCUACCACAUCCAAGGAAGGCAGCAGGCGCGCAAAUUACCCAAUCCCGACACGGGGAGGUAGUGACAAUAAAUAACAAUACAGGGUUCUUUGAAUCUUGUAAUUGGAAUGAGUACAAUUUAAAUCUCUUAACGAGGAACAAUUGGAGGGCAAGUCUGGUGCCAGCAGCCGCGGUAAUUCCAGCUCCAAUAGCGUAUAUNAAAGUUGUUGCAGUUAAAAAGCUCGUAGUUGAAUUUCGGGAUCAAUACGUCGGUCGUGCUUUCGGGUACGUACUGGCGUCAUUGGUUUCUCCUUUCUGACGAACCAUGAUGUCAUUAAUUUGGUGUUAUGGGGAGUUAGGACUGUUACUUUGAAAAAAUUAGAGUGUUUAAAGCAGGCAUUAGCUUGAAUACAUUAGCAUGGAAUAAUGAAAUAGGACGUUCGAUCCUAUUUUGUUGGUUUCUAGGAUCAACGUAAUGAUUAAUAGGGAUAGUUGGGGGCAUUAGUAUUCAAUUGUCAGAGGUGAAAUUCUUGGAUUUAUUGAAGACUAACUACUGCGAAAGCAUUUGCCAAGGAUGUUUUCAUUAAUCAAGAACGAAAGUUAGGGGAUCGAAGACGAUCAGAUACCGUCGUAGUCUUAACCAUAAACUAUGCCGACUAGGGAUCGGAUGAUGUUAAUUUUUUAAUGACUCANUCGGCGCCUUACGGGAAACCAAAGUGUUUGGG